ACAUGUACGAAAAACAUCGAACAAGGAUCCUUAAAAAAUAUUAUCGAGUCUCCAGAUUUAGACUGGAAAUCCAAAACGAGCUAUGAGGAAUUACGUCAUAAGUACAAUAAACAUUCUUCAGGCUGAUUAACCUUGCAGUAAAUGGUAAAUCCUGUCAGAAUAAAAGUGAAAAAGUACAUAUCUUUUGCUCGGUGUACAUUUUAAAAGAAGAUUACUCCAAAAUCUGUUGAUGAAUAUAAGUGCGUCAUUGUUUAAAGACAUACAAUAGAUAUGUGCAAGACGUAUUCAACCAGAACAAAAGGAUCUUCUUUCGGUUUGGAUUGCGUCAAUCAAUAGCAGUGCAUAGCGACGAUCGACCUAGUUUCGUGGAUAUUGAGUGUGACAGCUCAAGUCUUGGGAAAUAAACCACAAACGUUUUAAAUGUCGGAAGAAAAGUUUUCUUUGGAAGACAGUUUUGAAGGUAUUUUCCUAUUAACUAUAUGCAUGUACGGAGCGGAGCGUAUCAAGCGAAUUUGAUAAGAAAUGCAAAACAAUGUUCUUCCGGUUUGCGUCGUUUGUAUGGUGAUAAAGUGCAGUGGGUAUGCGAUGGAUGUGACAGCGCUUAUCUCGGGCGAUCGGCAAUCAAGUCUGCGA